AGUGAACGCUGGCGGUAGGCCUAACACAUGCAAGUCGAACGGCAGCACAGUAAGAGCUUGCUCUUACGGGUGGCGAGUGGCGGACGGGUGAGGAAUACAUCGGACUCUACUUUUUCGUGGGGGAUAACGUAUGGAAACUUACGCUAAUACCGCAUACGACCUACGGGUUAAAGCAGGGGAUCUUCGGACCUUGCGCGAUUGAAUGAGCCGGUGUCGGAUUAGCUAGUUGGCGGGGUAAAGGCCCACCAAGGCGACGAUCCGUAGCUGGUCUGAGAGGAUGAUCAGCCACACUGGAACUGAGACACGGUCCAGACUCCUACGGGAGGCAGCAGUGGGGAAUAUUGGACAAUGGGCGCAAGACUGAUCCAGCCAUACCGCGUGGGUGAAGAAGGCCUUCGGGUUGUAAAGCCCUUUUGUUGGGAAAGAAAAGCAGCAGGUUAAUACCCGGCUGUUCUGACGGUACCCAAAGAAUAAGCACCGGCUAACUUCGUG
rnacentral:rRNA from 1 species